rnacentral:piRNA from 1 species
UGGGCACGGUGGCAGUGGCUGUUGGA